GUGCACGCUGGCGGUAGGCCUCACACCUGCCAGUCGCACGGCAGCACAGUAAGAGCUUGCUCUUACGGGUGGCGAGUGGCGGACGGGUGAGGAAUACAUCGGAAUCUACUUUUUCGUGGGGGAUAACGUAGGGAAACUUACGCUAACACCGCAUACGACCUACGGGUGAAAGCAGGGGAUCUUCGGACCUUGCGCGAUUGAAUGAGCCGAUGUCGGAUUAGCUAGUUGGCGGGGUAAAGGCCCACCAAGGCGACGAUCCGUAGCUGGUCUGAGAGGAUGAUCAGCCACACUGGAACUGAGACACGGUCCAGACUCCUACGGGAGGCAGCAGUGGGGAAUAUUGGACAAUGGGCGCAAGCCUGAUCCAGCCAUACCGCGUGGGUGAAGAAGGCCUUCGGGUUGUAAAGCCCUUUUGUUGGGAAAGAAAAGCAGCAGGUUAAUACCCCGCUGUUCUGACGGUACCCAAAGAAUAAGCACCGGCUAACUUCGUG
rnacentral:rRNA from 1 species